UGAUGGUCAGUGCAUGUCAUAGUGAGCGGUUGAGCAUCUUUACCAUAUCAUUAGCAUAUUAUGCUUUGUUUGAACGGACAACUGGACAUUUAGCAUAUUAGGCUUUUAUUAUAUAGGAUGGAUGUGUGGAUGAUUUCAGAGCUCAGAUCCUGAUCCCAGCAUCCUAGAGACUGUCAAUUCAAUUUCCACAGAACUUUAAGGAGCUGCCUUAAAAUUUUUUUGAGGUCUCAGACAUUCAACAAAUGUUUUCAUCUUACCUUAGCUUUGUGGGAAGACUGCAGAGAACAAAAUAGUUUCCCUGCCUCCAAAGAGCUCACGGUCUUGGCUGGGGGGGUUCAACUCAUCAACUAAUCACACAAUAUGAAAUACAGAGAAAGGUAGAAAGUGCUAUAAGAGCACUUGACAGGAAAUCUAAUCUGGACCCUAGAAGUGAGGUUUGAGGUGAUCUGAAGGAGUAGGCAUUAACUCCAUUAAAUCUGGUGUGUGUGUGUGUGUGUAUGUGUGUGUGUGUAACAUGGUUAGAACCUAAAAGCUGACAGGGAGCAAGCGAUCAGGCCACAUAGAUCCUGUAAGGAGUGUGUGUCCUUACCCCAUGUAUAGUGGGAAGCUGUAAAAUAAUUUUAUUCUUAAAAAAUUUUAACUGAUUUUUGGAGAGAGAAGAAGGGAGAGGAGGGAGUGUAAGAGAAACUUCCAUGUAAGAGUGAGACAUUGAUCAGCUGCCUCCUGCAUGCCCCCUAUCGGGGAUCAAACCUUAAACUGUGGCAUGUGCCCUGACCCAGAAUCAAAUGGCAGCCUUCGGUACAUAGGAUAAUGCCCAACCAACUGAGCCACACUGACCAAGGCAAGAAGUUUAAAUAGUGGAAACAGGCAUGGUCAGUUAUAUAUGUUAAUAGGUCCCUUAGACUGUUGUGGGGGGAAUUGACAAUAGGGGAUUAUGGAUUGAAGUAGAGGCCAAUGAUGAGGCUGUUACUGUGAGAUUAACGAAGGCCACCCAUUCUUUGCUGUUAUUUUCCAUUAGAAGGUGAAGUCUCCUUCUUUAAUCUGGUCUGACCUUGCCUCGCUUUACCAAUAGAAUGUAGUGAAAGUGAUGCAGUUGAGGAGGCCUGUGCCUUGAAGAGGCCUGGCAGCUUGUGCUUUUGCUAUCUUGGAGCCCUGGGCUUCUGUAUAAAGAAAUCCAGCUAUGCUGCUGGAGAGAAAUGUGGAAAGAGGCCCAGCCAGCCCCUAGCUGUUCCUCUGUUUCAGCUGAUGUGCUAGACAUGAGUGAUGCCAUCUAGCCCAGCUCCCAGCUGACAACAUAUGGAGUAGGGAUGAGCCAUCCUGACUUGAAUUUGAUUCUCAGUGAGAUAAGAAAUCAGAGCAUUAUGAGUUGAAGAAUGAUGUGAUACUAAUAGGAUUCCUCUGGCUGCCAUGUGGACACAAGGAUAGAAGUGGACUCCAGUGAGGAGGCUACGGCACUAAUCCAGCCAGAGAGAGUGGUGGCUUAGCUUGAGGAGGAGUAGUGGAGGUGGGAGGUGUGGUCGGAUUUUGGAUAUACAAUAGUUUGAAGGAUGAGUAGGCAGAAUUUGGGGAUAGGUGUGGGGUGAAAAAGAGGAAUCAACAACCAAGGACUUUAGCCUUAGCAGAGGAAGGAGGGAAUGCCAGUAACUAUAUGAGGAAGACCAAGAGAGGCUGUGGAUGUGGAUCUAGUAAGCAUCCCAGUGGACUUGCUGAGCAAGCAGUGGAAUCUAGGAAUCUGGCAUGCAGGGGUGAAAUCUGGACUGGAGGUGUAAUUUGGGUAGUCAUUGGCAUUUUUGUGGUAUGAAGGCCCAGAUGAGGUCGCUAAGGUAGGAGCAUCUGCAUCUGCUGCUUCCUCUGUUUGCAGGAGCUGGGCUGGCCCUGGGUCACUCUUGCCCUGACUCCAUGUGACAUUCCAGUGCAGUGCCCACAGCUCCUCUGUCCCCAUUCCAAAUGACAAGAAUCAGAUCGCUGGGGUUGGCUGUCAAGCUCUGCUCAACCUGCUUUAGCUGGGGGUGAGGGGUUUCUGCAAGGGUGUCUGUCUGCUGGGAAGGGCUGCGGACUGGCCACUUCAACUAGUCACAAAGUGUUUCUGACAGUCGGUGUAUUGGAGGCAGGAGUGUGUGUGGAUGUUUGGUAAUUGGGUGGGUGAGACAUUAUUUAUGGAGCCUCAGGUGGGUGAAUGGGGUAGGAGAGAGGAGGAAGUUGGGCUCUGGCAGGCUCUGAGCCCAGAGGGGUUCGGAUUACGUUGGGAGAAGUCAUGAGGACCCAACACAGCUUCUGCCUGCCAUUGUGGUCAGGAAGACAGACACUCUUCACUCCUCACUGGAGAGAGAUACAGCAAUGACUGAGACAGCCUCCACCCUGCCCUCUGAGAGCACCCAUCAAGUGGGGGAGACCCUCUGACCAGAUGGGGGUCAGGGAGGGCCAGGAUGGCAGGAGUUCCAGGGUGCUGUUGGAGCCCAGAGGAAGUACGUGAUCUAGUCUAAGGUAUUAGGAGAUCUCGUGGAGAGAGAACACAUGAGGUAAGAUUUGAAGAGUCAGAUGAAGGGAGUUUUUGGUCUCUACAGGUGAUGACUUUUAGCCAAGACAGUAAAUAUUUAAAUAACUUUUUUAUAUUAAAUAAUUUUAAAUUUACUGAAAAGUUGCAAAGAAAAUACAAAAGAUUUCCCAUAUACACUGCAAUACCCUGCACCCAACUUCCCCUAAAGUUAAGAUCUUAUAUAUUUAUGGUACAUUUUUCAAAAGUAGGAAAUUUAUGUUGAUUAGUAUUCUAACUAAACUUCAGACUUUAUUCAUAUCUUACCUGUUUUCCACUAAUGUUCUGUUUCUGUCCCAGGAUCCAAUCUAGGAUACCAUGUUGCAUUUAUUCACCAUGUCUCCUUUGUCUCAUCCAGACUGUGACAGUUUCUCAAUCUUUCCUCGGUUUUCAUAACCUUGACAGUUUUGAGGUAUACCACUCCUCAGUCUGGAUUUCUAUAAUAUUUAUCUCAUGGUUAGAGUGGGAUUAUAGGUUUGGGGAAGAAUGCCACUCAGCUGAUAUUUAUCUGGAUCACUCCUUUAAGGCGGGGUGUAUCAGGUUUCUUAAGUAUAAUGUUACUGGUUUUCCCUUUUCUUACUCUGUUCAAAGCAAGUAACGAAAUCCAGCCCACACUCAAAAGGAGACUAUUUGUCAUAGUUAAUAAGUAUGGGAAGAUAUUUUGAGACUGUGCGGAUGUCCUGAUUCUCCUCAAAGUUCCACCCACGGUUUUUAGCAUUCAUCAUGGAUCUUGCUUGAGACACAAUAAUUACUGUGGUAUUCUAGUGUUCAUUUUCUAUUUCCCUCAUUUCUUCUACAUUUACUAUUUAGAAUUCUUCUGUAUGAAGGUUUGUCUCUUUUACCCCAUUUAUUUUAUUUGUAUAAUCACUCAUUUUUAUAAGUAUGAACUCAUGGAUAUUUAUUUUAUUCUUUGUAUAUAAUCCUGUACUAUCAUAAUUAAUUUUUUUCACUACAGUUAUUUCCGUUUUGGCCAUAGGGGCUUUUCAGGUUGGUUCCUGUGUUCUUUCUCUUUUCUUGAGUACCUACUUCCUUACUCUCUGGCAUUAUAAGAUGAUUCAGGCUUAUCUUGCAUUUUCCCUUCCCCAGCCCUGGAAUCAGCCAUUUCUCCAAGAGCCCAGGUUCCUUUUAUUGGAGAAAGAUAUUAGAAACCUAGGUUUGAGCACUGAGUACGGUCAUUGCUACUGGGGUGUCACUGUAUCUAGUCCCUCUUGGCUGACAGAGCUAGGAAAUAUACGUAUGUGUACAAAUCCAGGUAUGCUCACACAUCUGUAUUUCUGUGUGUGUAUGUAUAGAUAGAUAUAGGUGUGUGUGU